GCCCCAGGGGUUCCGCCACCCGCACAAACCCCCGUGCCCCACAGGUCCCCCUCGCAUUCCGGUUCACUACCGAGCCUGCCCGGUGACGCCCCCUGUGCUCCGGGUAGGGAAAGCCCCGCCCACCCCUCGUUCGCCACGCCUCUUUCCUCUCAGCCAACCACGCGGCCUCUCUUUGCCCCGCCUCUCCCUUGCUAUUGGUUAAUUGUAUUGUCCCCUCCCACGGGCGGGGCGGGGCUUUGCCAACGGCGGCUGCGGCGAGGGGGCGGCUCGAAGCGGGGACACCGGGACCGGGGGACACGGCUGGGAGCAUGAGGCUGGAUGCGCUCCCUGUGCCUUCACCUCUCUGCGCUGUGCUGCCAGGGCCCCUUCUCUCUGCUGCAGCAUGAAGAGCACCCGCAGCAGCUCCUCCUUCCAAGGUGCCAGUACCGGUGACAUGGAGCUGAGCCUGAGGGGCCUCCCCGCGCCGGUCUCCCGGCGCCCCGGCAGCGCCUCUCCCGCCAAGCACAUGGUGCGCUCCGUCUCGGUCACCGCCGAUGGCAAGCCAAAGAGGAACACGCUGGAAGAUGCAGGAUCCCGGGCAAUGAACAACCUCCGGAGGUCCAACAGCACCACCCAGGUUAACCAGAGAGUCAACAGCACAUGCAGCUCAGAGCGGACAGGAGACUUCCUGACCUUCUUUGAAAGCGGUUCUGGGGGAAGAAAGAAACCAACAAGUCUGAGCAAAACCUCCCCAGAAAAGAAAACCACAUGGAAUGUCUUGGAUGAUCAGCCACGAGCAUUCCCGGGCUCCUCCGGCUCCUGCAGCGUUGAGCCACCAGCAGGGAUGAGGAGGAAAGAAGCUGCUGUGCUUCUGGCAGCCAACUUCACUGCCAACAACAGGAGCAAUAAGGGGGCAAUGGGCAACUGUGUCACUACCAUGGUGCAUAACAACUACUCCACCACUGAGAAGGUUCCUACACCCAAAAGCUCCAACCAGGUGCCCAGCUCCCUCAACAAUGUUGUCAAAGCAACCUCAAACGAGGAUGGUGAAGGCAGCAGCUUUGUGAAAUCUCAGAAGAACUUCUCCAGCAACAACAUCAUGACCCACAACAACAACAGCAGCCUGCCCUGGAGGAAGGAGGUGACCGAGGAGGAGGCGGAGAGGUUCAUCCAGCAGGUGAACUUGGCUGCUGUGACCAUCCAGCGCUGGUACCGGCGCCACUCGCAGCGGCACAGGGCAGCUGCAGCAGCUCUGGGGCGCUUGUUGGCUUCUAAAAGGGAGGAGAGGCAGCAACGGAUGGAGGAAGGGAACAUCCUGGAUUUGCAUGAGAGGAAGGAGGAGGAACGCCGGAAGAUCCGAGAGGAGAAGGCGCGCCUGGCCCGACGAGCUGCCAUCCAGGAACUGCACCAGAAAAGAGCCCAAAAGGCUUUGGAUGCAAAGCGCUUGGCAGAAGAAGAGCUUGCGCUGGCGAAGGAGAGCAGAAGGGUAGCAAAGAAGAAGCCUGCCAAAGCAGCUUCUGCAAGGAAUGGCAGUCCAGCCAGCAGUGUCACCAAAGCCAACAAUGCUGAGGCAAAUUUCCACUCAGUACCUGCAGAGCCAGAAGAAAAAGGCCCUGCAGACCUUGUCUCCUUGCCCUCACAGGACCCUGGGGCAGAGGAUAAGCUGCAGGAUGUGAGCUCCAGAGAGACAGGUGGUGAGGAUGUGGAGACAGUGGUGACUGCUGUCAGCAGGGCUCAGUCCAAGGUCACUCUCAACGAGCUGCUGGACACGCUCAGGCUGUUGGAGGAAGAGCCAGAGGUGCUGCCCCCACCAAAGCUCUUGAAGAAGGAAAGAUAUGCCUGGAUAGAUGGGCAGGAGCCCAGCUCCAAUUCCCUGACUGCAGAUAAUCUGGAGAAGUUUGGGAAGCUGAACCACUCCCUAGUGGUCCCUGAGGAUGGGGCCCUGCUCUCCGAGGCCAAGCUUCAAAGCAUUAUCAGUUUCCUGGAUGAGAUGGAGAAGUCAGAACAGGAGAGGCCCAGGUCGGCUGCCUCAGCCACUCAGCGAGAGGGUCUGCUCUCCGAAGAGGAUCUGGCUCACUUGGAGCAGGCGUCGGCUGUUGCCACAGAGGUCACCAGCUCCAUCAUGAGGCUGAAGCUGGAAGUGGAGGAGAAGAAGCGAACCGUCAGCCUGCUGCAGACAGCGCUGGCUCAGCAGAGGGAACUGACUGUCCGGCACAUCAAACAGACCGAGAAGGAGCUUGGCCACCAGCUCAAGCUGCAGAGGGAACAGUAUGAGGCAGCUAUCCAGAGGCAUCUGGCCUUCAUCGACCAGCUCAUUGAUGAUAAGAAGGUGCUGAGUGAGAAGUGUGAGGCUGUGAUAGCUGAGCUGAAACAAGUGGACCAGAAGUAUGGCAAGAAGAUCACGCAGAUGCAGGAGCAGCAUGAGCUGGUCUGGCGCACUUUGGGCCCCUUUUGUGAGGAGAUUAAGAAACUGAAGGAAGUGAUGAGUGCAACUGAGAAAAUCAGGCGGGAGAAGUGGAUGGAUGAGAAAACCAAAAAGAUCAAAGAAAUCACUGUGAAAGGGCUGGAGCCAGAAAUCCAGAAGCUCAUUGCCAAGCACAAGCAGGACAUCAGGAAGCUGAAGAUGCUCCACGAGGCCGAGCUGCUGCAGUCGGAUGAGCGAGCAGCGCAGCGCUACGGCCGGCAGGCGGAGGAGCUGCGGGGGCUGCUGGAGCGGGAGAGCGAGGAGCAGAGCCAGCGGCACCGGCAGCGGUGUGAGCAGCAGCUGGAGCAGGAGGAGCAGGCGCUGCAGCAGCAGCGGCGUCGGCUCUAUGCCGAGGUGGCCGAGGAGAAGGAGAGGCUCAGCCAGCAAGCAGCCAGGCAGAGAGCAGAGGUAGAGGAGCUGCGGCAGCAGCUUGAGGCAAGCAGCUCGGCUGUCACCAGGGCACUGAAAGAGGAGUACACCAAGGAGAAGGAGGAGCAGGAGAGGCGGCAUCAGGCAGAGGUGAAGGCACUGAAGGAGCGGAUGGAGAUGGAGAAGCAGGCCUGGGAGGCAAACUACAUGAAGAAGGAGCAAGCCUGGCUGCUCUCCCGGGAGCGGGAGCUGCGGGAGGAGCUGAGGAAGGAGAGAGACAAAGAGAUCGAGCUGGUGAUCGAGCGCCUGGAGGCCGACAUGUCCUCUGCCAAGGAGGAGUGUGAGAGGGCAGCAGAGAACAGGAUUAAGAGGAUCCGAGACAAGUACGAGGUGGAGCUCCAGGAGCUGGAGAGGUCUGAGAGGAAGCUGCAGGAACGCUGCAACGAGCUGAAACGGCGUCUGGCAGAGCUGGAAGGGGAGGGCGUUCAUCUGCGGGGCCUGCUGAAGCACAAGGAGCAGGAGGUGGAGGAGACGCAGAAGGCGAGGGACCAGCUGGCCCAGGAGCGGAGCAGCCUGGCAGAAGUGAUCCGUCAGGAAUUCACGGACAAGCUGCUGGGGACAGAGGAGGAGAACAAGCGGCUGAAGGUGGAGAUGGCAGAGAUGAGAGCCCGGCAGCGCCUGGAGCUGGACAGGGUAGUGCAGGAGAAGGAUCAAGAGCUGGAGGAAGUUCACAGGAGGGAUGCUCGAAGGACAUGACCACUGGAGUGAGCAGCUGGAGCACAGCUCUGUGUGUGAUUCCUCCCAAGCAGGAGCACUGUGUGCUGGCUGGGCUCAUGCUCGGCUCCUGGAGAGCUUUGCCCUGGGUAGCACCAAUACCUGUGAUUGCAGCAGAUUUGCUGCUCCACAGGGGCUUAGCAGCUGAUUUUCCUUCGUGAGUACAGGGGAGAGAGCAGCCAGCAAGGUUGAGGGCAGUUGAGACGACCCCAGGAGGUGCCACAUCUGUCAGCUGUAGGGAGCAGGGGCUGUGCUCAGCAGCAAGGCUGUGCCAUGGGGCUCAGCUCCAUCCUGUGCUCAGUGGGAGCGGUGCUGGGAGCUAAGUUCAGUGUCGGGCAGCGCCUCAAGAUUUCCUCUCCCCUCAAGUGUACCUGUGAGGGAGGCAUUUUGCAAGUGAAAGGAGGAUCGGAAGGGGAAAUGAAUCAUUUCUGUGUGGGGCAGAGCUGUCCCUCUGUUGGUGUCUGUGCAGAGCUCUCACCACCAGUAAGGAGAGGCUGCUGUGCCAGCACAUGAAGCUCUCUGGCUUUCCCAGAGCCUGCUGAGUGAUUCCCACUCACUCAGAGAGCCAGGGUCAGACCCUGAGUAUGAGAUAACCAGGAUCCCCUUUUCGCCUCCAUCCCUUAUGUACAGCCUGGCAAAGGCAGAGAAGCAGAAAGUCUGCUGCUCUGACAGCUGUGGGGAAGAAUCCAGCCAUGAGGCAGCAAUUGUGGGCUUGAGAAACGGGAAGAAACACAAAAUCCCCUCCCUGUGGUUCUGUUAAUUAAUUAAGUCUUGUGAAGCUAAUGUCCCCUUCUUCCUACAGAUGACUCAAUCCAAACUCCAGAACUCGCCAAGGGAAUAAAGGCUCUUCUAGCCCAGAGUCACUGCUGUCUGGGUUGGGGGAGAGGUGCUGCUGAAAUCCCCCUCCUGGGUCAUGUGGCCAGCUGGGGAUGGGGUCUUUAGCCCCAGUUUGGGGCUGGACACCAGGGUGAGAUCCUCAGCCUUUCCAUGUCCAUCUACUCAGGGUGAAGAGAGCAGUUGUGAGGAAAGAGGAGAGUGUGAGCAGCCUUCGGAAGCAGUAUGAAGUGGCCGUGCAGAGAGCUGAGCGCCUGGAAGCCCUCCUG